rnacentral:rRNA from 1 species
UAGGGAAUCUUCCGCAAUGGGCGAAAGCCUGACGGAGCAACGCCGCGUGAGUGAUGAAGGUCUUCGGAUCGUAAAACUCUGUUAUUAGGGAAGAACAUAUGUGUAAGUAACUGUGCACAUCUUGACGGUACCUAAUCAGAAAGCCACGGCUAACUACGUGCCAGCAGCCGCGGUAAUACGUAGGUGGCAAGCGUUAUCCGAAAUUAUUGGGCGUAAAGCGCGCGUAGGCGGUUUUUUAAGUCUGAUGUGAAAGCCCACGGCUCAACCGUGGAGGGUCAUUGGAAACUGGAAAACUUGAGUGCAGAAGAGGAAAGUGGAAUUCCAUGUGUAGCGGUGAAAUGCGCAGAGAUAUGGAGGAACACCAGUGGCGAAGGCGACUUUCUGGUCUGUAACUGACGCUGAUGUGCGAAAGCGUGGGGAUCAAACAGGAUUAGAUACCCUGGUAGUCCACGCCGUAAACGAUGAGUGCUAAGUGUUAGGGGGUUUCCGCCCCUUAGUGCUGCAGCUAACGCAUUAAGCACUCCGCCUGGGGAGUACGACCGCAAGGUUG